UACAGAGACUGCAAGCGUUAUUCGGAUUCACUGGGCGUAAAGGGUGCGCAGGCGGCCGUGUGUGUGAGGUGUGAAAGCCCGGGGCUUAACCCCGGAAUUGCACCUCAAACUACAUGGCUAGAGCAUUGGAGAGGGUAGCAGAAUUCACGGUGUAGCAGUGAAAUGCGUAGAUAUCGUGAGGAAUACCAGAGGCGAAGGCGGCUACCUGGACAAUUGCUGACGCUCAGGCACGAAAGCGUGGGGAGCAAAAGGG
rnacentral:rRNA from 1 species